GUGUAGUCAUUGCCGAACAUGGACACAAGAACAAGGACUCCAAAGCAAUGAUGAAGCUAUGCAAAUGCGCAGUUCUAAGCUCAGGGAUGCUCAAGUGUCCAAAGAAGUUUGAGCCACAAACCAAAUCCGAGUACAAAGCUAUCAUUGCAUGCCUAUGCAAGAAUUUUCCUAAAGCGAUGACUCCCAAAGCCUGCAAACGUCUCCCUCCACCUCCUCCUAUGUCCUAAGUCCCGCACAGUAAAACAAAAUGCAGUGUUAAUCCAACACUUAGAGAGUGCUCCGGGACCAAAUACACUCUAGAAAAUGUUAAAUGCUGUAUAUUCCCUCUGUUUUGAAUUAACACUGUGUUUUCACUGUGUGUGAAAGUUAUUUCAUUUGGCCAAAUGGCAUCUGAUUUCUAAUCUUCACAAUCUGCACAUCGCAGCAGUCUUAGAAUCUACUGUGUCACACCACACAGGCUUACAGCACAUUCUGCAUUUUUGCUUGAUUACUUGAGAAAGUAAAUAACUUACCUGUGAACCUAAAAUAGUGGAGUAAAAUGACU